AUUGAACGCUGGCGGCAGGCUUAACACAUGCAAGUCGAGCGGGGAAGGGUAGCUUGCUACCUGACCUAGCGGCGGACGGGUGAGUAAUGCUUAGGAAUCUGCCUAUUAGUGGGGGACAACAUUCCGAAAGGAAUGCUAAUACCGCAUACGCCCUACGGGGGAAAGCAGGGGAUCUUCGGACCUUGCGCUAAUAGAUGAGCCUAAGUCAGAUUAGCUAGUUGGUGGGGUAAAGGCCUACCAAGGCGACGAUCUGUAGCGGGUCUGAGAGGAUGAUCCGCCACACUGGGACUGAGACACGGCCCAGACUCCUACGGGAGGCAGCAGUGGGGAAUAUUGGGCAAUGGGCGCAAGCCUGAUCCAGCCAUGCCGCGUGUGUGAAGAAGGCCUUUUGGUUGCAAAGCACUUUAAGCGAGGAGGAGGCUACUUGGAUUAAUACUCUAGGAUAGUGGACGUUACUCGCAGAAUAAGCACCGGCUAACUCUGUGCCAGCAGCCGCGGUAAUACAGAGGGUGCGAGCGUUAAUCGGAUUUACUGGGCGUAAAGCGUGCGUAGGCGGCUUUUUAAGUCGGAUGUGAAAUUCCUGAGCUUAACUUAGGAAUUGCAUUCGAUACUGGGAAGCUAGAGUAUGGGAGAGGAUGGUAGAAUUCCAGGUGUAGCGGUGAAAUGCGUAGAGAUCUGGAGGAAUACCGAUGGCGAAGGCAGCCAUCUGGCCUAAUACUGACGCUGAGGUACGAAAGCGUGGGGAGCAACAGGAUUAUAUACCCUGGUAGUCCAGGGCGAAUCCACAGUGGAUAUCAGCUUAUCGAUACCGCCACUCGAGGGGGGGCCCGGAGCCGUGUUAUGUUUCAAUCUUACAAAAAUAAAAAUAAAUCUGGUUUAAUCAUGGCAUAUUGUUUUCAAUAUCGUAGUGUGUUUUGUGAA
rnacentral:rRNA from 1 species